GGAAUCUUGCGCAAUGGGCGAAAGCCUGACGCAGCGACGCCGCGUGAGGGAUGAAGCUUCUCGGAGUGUAAACCUCUUUCGACCCGGACGAAUGCCCGCACGGGCUUGACGGUACGGGGAGAAGAAGCCCCGGCUAACUACGUGCCAGCAGCCGCGGUAAAACGUGGGGGGCCAGCGUUGCUCGGCAGUACUGGGCGUAAAGGGUCUGUAGGCGGUGCGGUAAGUCCGGAGUGAAAUCUCCAGGCUCAACUUGGAGGCUGCUUUGGAAACUGCCGUGCUCGAGUGCGGGAGAGGCGCGUGGAAUUGCAGGUGUAGCGGUGAAAUGCGUAGAUAUCUGCAGGAACACCAGUGGCGAAAGCGGCGCGCUGGACCGCAACUGACGCUGAGGCUCGAAAGCUAGGGGAGCAAAC
rnacentral:rRNA from 1 species